GUCUUGGUGUAAUUACUUUUGUAAUAAUAAAGUAAUUACGUUUUCACGUGUUGUGGUGUUCAAAACAUAUAUUAAAAAAAUAAUAUUAUAUGUACAUGUUCUCCUAGACCUCAUGCUUUCACUAUUCCAUUUGGACUUUUGAUACAUCUAGAAACUACUUUUGAUACAUUUGUUGUGUUGUUGUUGGUCUUUACUAUUUUUUUUUUAGUUUGCUAGCCACUUUCCCAACUUCUGGCCUUUGUGUUUUAAACUUUAGCUGUUAUUUAACUUUUGUGAGUUGUAGUUUCUAAGGACUCUAUAGUGAGUUUGUUAUUUGGUUUAAUUUUUUUUAACAAGGUUUGAGUUCCCCUGUGUUUGAUUGGGCUCAUUUGAGUGAUUGCUCCAUUCUAAGAUGUUGCAAUACCAAUGAAGUUGCUUCAAAAACACUUGAAAGAGACUGGAGGGAAAGUUCUAACUCCCUUUGCUGAACCAAAUGGCUAUUAUAUAGGUCAUGCCAAGGCAAUGUUUAUAGGCUUUGGAAUCUCUCAAGAGAGAGGUGGAGGAUGCUAUCUAAGCUAGCUUUUUUGAAAAGAUUAGCCCGCAACUAGAAGUUUAAAGGCUUGGCCAGGUGAACUCUUGAAGUUUCAACCAUACAAGGUAAUUAAACA